AAAUUGAAGAGUUUGAUCAUGGCUCAGAUUGAACGCUGGCGGCAGGCCUAACACAUGCAAGUCGAGCGGUAGCACAGAAGAGCUUGCUCUUCGGGUGACGAGCGGCGGACGGGUGAGUAAUGUCUGGGAAACUGCCUGAUGGAGGGGGAUAACUACUGGAAACGGUAGCUAAUACCGCAUAACGUCUUCGGACCAAAGAGGGGGACCUUCGGGCCUCUUGCCAUCGGAUGUGCCCAGAUGGGAUUAGCUAGUAGGUGAGGUAAUGGCUCACCUAGGCGACGAUCCCUAGCUGGUCUGAGAGGAUGACCAGCCACACUGGAACUGAGACACGGUCCAGACUCCUACGGGAGGCAGCAGUGGGGAAUAUUGCACAAUGGGCGCAAGCCUGAUGCAGCCAUGCCGCGUGUGUGAAGAAGGCCUUCGGGUUGUAAAGCACUUUCAGCGGGGAGGAAGGCGAUAAGGUUAAUAACCUUGUCGAUUGACGUUACCCGCAGAAGAAGCACCGGCUAACUCCGUGCCAGCAGCCGCGGUAAUACGGAGGGUGCAAGCGUUAAUCGGAAUGACUGGGCGUAAAGCGCACGCAGGCGGUCUGUUAAGUUGGAUGUGAAAUCCCCGGGCUUAACCUGGGAACUGCAUUCAAAACUGACAGGCUAGAGUCUUGUAGAGGGGGGUAGAAUUCCAGGUGUAGCGGUGAAAUGCGUAGAGAUCUGGAGGAAUACCGGUGGCGAAGGCGGCCCCCUGGACAAAGACUGACGCUCAGGUGCGAAAGCGUGGGGAGCAAACAGGAUUAGAUACCCUGGUAGUCCACGCUGUAAACGAUGUCGACUUGGAGGUUGUGCCCUUGAGGCGUGGCUUCCGGAGCUAACGCGUUAAGUCGACCGCCUGGGGAGUACGGCCGCAAGGUUAAAACUCAAAUGAAUUGACGGGGGCCCGCACAAGCGGUGGAGCAUGUGGUUUAAUUCGAUGCAACGCGAAGAACCUUACCUACUCUUGACAUCCACAGAAUUUGGUAGAGAUACCUUAGUGCCUUCGGGAACUGUGAGACAGGUGCUGCAUGGCUGUCGUCAGCUCGUGUUGUGAAAUGUUGGGUUAAGUCCCGCAACGAGCGCAACCCUUAUCCUUUGUUGCCAGCACGUAAUGGUGGGAACUCAAAGGAGACUGCCGGUGAUAAACCGGAGGAAGGUGGGGAUGACGUCAAGUCAUCAUGGCCCUUACGAGUAGGGCUACACACGUGCUACAAUGGCGUAUACAAAGAGAAGCGAACUCGCGAGAGCAAGCGGACCUCAUAAAGUACGUCGUAGUCCGGAUUGGAGUCUGCAACUCGAUUCCAUGAAGUCGGAAUCGCUAGUAAUCGUAGAUCAGAAUGCUACGGUGAAUACGUUCCCGGGCCUUGUACACACCGCCCGUCACACCAUGGGAGUGGGUUGCAAAAGAAGUAGGUAGCUUAACCUUCGGGAGGGCGCUUACCACUUUGUGAUUCAUGACUGGGGUGAAGUCGUAACAAGGUAACCGUAGGGGAACCUGCGGUUGGAUCACCUCCUUA
rnacentral:rRNA from 1 species